UGGAGAGGCUGCGGAGCCACAGGUGCGGAUCCGAAGGCUGUGCCAUCACCGAAGUAGGAACGCGAGCAGAAGGCAGACGCUGCGCCAGAAGUAGCAACAAUGCAGAAAUACGUUCAGGGAGAGCAAUAGCAAAGGGAAAGGCAGAAAGAAGCUGGGGCAUCAGAUGGAAGUGAAGGCAGUAGCAGGGAGCAGGCCUGCUGUGCUCUGCCAGAACAGCCGCUGGACACACUUGGACCUGUCCUGUGCCUGUCACUGUGAACGCAUGGUGCCUUGCUGCUGCCACUGACAAAAUUGCUAAUUUAUUGAGCUUUCAGGAGGAUCUAGGUUGGAAAAGAGCACUCAUCCCUCAUUCUCACAUGCCCCCUCCAGAAUCGGCUGUCGUUGGCAAUGGGCAUGCUGUUAGUCAUUUGUUUGGUUCAGCUGUUUUGCCUGCUGCUUAGGUUUAAUGGAGGGUUUCUGGCUUUUAAAAAAAUCAGUACAGAGCUGGGGUUCCAGCCUCAAAUGCCACGUAUAUUUAGUUUUAAUUCUGGGGUGUGCCAUAGCGUGGGGUGGCUAAGGUUGGAGAAGAGGGUCCUGCGUUAGCUUUAUGUAGGGCGCUAUCAUUACCUGCUUACUGUGAGCUGUUCCUGAGCACUGCCUAUACCUAUUGCGUUUAUUGUUUGUUUUUUUUUGAGUGUAUGUCCUGUUUUUUUGUGUGAGUGAAACUUUAUCUGCAAACCAGACUGAAGAAAUCAGCCAACCUUCUCCUCCCUGUUCCGUUCCGGCAUGGCUUUGUUACAGCCAACUGACACGAGGUGCAGCAGAAGUGGCAAGAUCCCAAGCUGUCAAGUGUCAAGUGAUAUUUUAUCCAGGACCCAAACGUGAGAUGGAUCCAGCAGUUCAGCCAUGCGUUUGCCUGGGCUUUUGGGAUGAUCCAGCAGGCUAGGACAGGACAGCAGAGGAGGAUAACCCAGCAGAAGAAAGAAUCUCUGCCACGGUGUCGCAGGUCAGCAGCAACACAGAAAAGCCAGCCCAGCCUUCCUAGGUGCCGCUUGGGCUGGAGCAGUGGGAUAAGGAUGUGCCCCCCGGGGGUCAGAGCCGAGCUGGAAGGAGCAGCCUGAGCAGGAGCUGGGAGAAGGGCAGUGGGCUGGAGGACUGGUGCCUGCACAUGCUGCUGAGAAGGAAAACCACCCACAGAUUAACAGCUGCUAAAAUACCGAACAGCCUGACUGCUUUCAAACUGACAUCUACUUAGGACCCAGAACAAUUUAUUUUCUUAAAUAAAGGGAAGCUUCUCUUCCUGGAAGCUGUACAACAUUUUUAAUGUCUCCCAUGCUGAAGUGGGAUGAAAGGUCAAAACUCAUUAAAACUUUAGCAAAGCAGAAGUCUGCCUUAAAAGAUUCAUUUUUUUUUUUUUUUUUUUCGUUUUUAUAGGCCUCGAUUUAUUAGUGUGCCUAAGUGUAGGCUUAAUUUUCUAUCACUUUGAUUUCAGUCACGUGCUCAGGGUUUUAUUGAGUCACAAAUUGAUGAGAUUUCUGGGAGUCUGGUCUUGGGCGUGCCUGGAUAGUAAACUGGAAAAAAGGAGAAAGGCAACCUGCUUUCCAAGCCUGCAGUCGAGCCAUGAACCUCCGUCUCCUUCCCUGUGCUGAGCAAUAAAUGAUGGAAGAACCUGUUGCUUGCAAAGCGAUGGCCCUGUAGAGAUUGCAGUGCACUCUGAAUGGCUUGUGCACUCAUCCAGGCUGCUUGGGACUUGUAGGGGAGGCUGGAUGCAACAUCUGGAAAUGGAUCUUGUUCAGGUCUUCGUAAAUCUGGUGCUCUCUGCGGUUACUUAUCUUCAGGAGAAACGAAGGAAUCAAACUUUUUACUAUGAUUUUUAAUGGUUACCUUUCUGGAACCUCUCCUGUCCAUUUCCGUAGUCUCAGGGUUCCUUUCUUCUGCCUCUAAAAUAGUGGUUGGGUAACGGAGCAGCAAACUUGGCUGACGGUUUUUAGGUACUCUCUAAUUGCCUCUGUCGUGGUCAACAGGGAUUUUAUUCCCACUUUAAUCCCACGGCUGUACUUGGCAGCUUGUAAAUCACACAUGUACAUCACAAGAAAGGAGUGGAUUGCUUCUGUCUUAAUCUGCAGCCUCUUACUUUUAUGACUCCUUUGUAUCAUCAGUCUUUAUUUCCGUCACAAGGAAAAAACGUCCUCCCCCAGUGGCUGCAUCCAGAUGAAUGUGUUUUAUUCUCGGCAAGAUCAGAGGAAGGCGAUUUACAAGGGUUCUGGGCACUCGGAACGCAUGAGCACUGGGCCAUGUGGAUGUGCUGCCUCGGGAUGUAUUUAUGGUGCAGGCUCACUGGCUCAGCUCCACAAAGUUUGUAGUACAGGGAAGGCUGAUAAAAAGCAAUUCACAGGAGCCCGGUAGGUGCAGAGAUACAAUGCGCCGGUGCUGGCUGUAAGCGGUGAUGAGACGACCUCAGCAGUCCCGCGAGCUGCAGCCUGGGAGCUAGAAAAACUGGGUUUGGAUCCACUUGUAUCGCUGAGCUGCUGUGUGAUCUUGAAAGAUCAUUUCUUAUUCCCCUCCUGUGCUUUAUUUACGAGUUUAUAACACUUUUGGAGCAAGAAAUUCCUUUCUGGGGAUAGUUCAUAUGCUGUCUGUCCCAGGGAUGACCUCAUCAGGGCUGAAGUUUCUAGGUGAACUGUAAUUUAAAAACAAACAAACAAACCAGGAAUGCUGCUCGGGGCCAGUGCUGUGUUUCAUGAUCCCACACGCUGGCAUCUGGUCGCAGGUCCUGCGGGGAUUAGUAGGGACUGCUAAUGAACGUGGGCUUGUGAAGCCGCCCCGUUAAUAAAAAUAGAAAACUGGUCUCGGAGCACACCGUGUGGUUUCAGCCAGAAUUUCCUUCUGGUUCUCUGCUUCGAGAGAAGCUGUUCUCUGAAGGAACAACUGUUCUUGGAGGAUCCAAUUUAACCUGACCUCAUGAUGAACAUUUUCUCCUGCGGUACAGCAGGUGAAUUUUGUCGGACUGAACUCUUGUUGAAAGUUGUGGUGUGCUCAGUCCAAACAUUCUAACCACAACCCCCUUUGCCUCUGAUGAAAUUAAAAGCUGAACUCAGAUCUGAGUUCUGAGGAGGUUCAUCUUAAAUAAAGUAAAAUUUGUGACUUCCAAAGUGGGAGCAGAAAUUUUAAACGUCAUCGGAUCUGAACUGUAACCUGUUGGUGCUCCCUUUACCUUCAGCUCCUUUCUGUCUUGCCACACUUAUUAAUUACUGCAGAUCCCACAUUUGCCUAUGAAGAGGCAGUUUUUUCCAGGCCGUGUUGUUACUCGUUACUUGAAUCACUUGCUCUUUAUCUCGUUUGAUUCUGCUGGGACGCCCAGGGAAUUUUCCAAGGCUGUGAGCACAGGAUUGUGAAGAAAUCGUUGUCUGGCAUUGAUGCUUCAGCUGAAGAUGCUUCUCUCUCGUGUCCCUUGCGAUUUGCCAAUAAACCAGCCAGACACCAUUGCUAGCAGCCUUACACUGCUGAAAAUUGUUUUUCAGGUGAGAUGGUAAAUUAUGGGCUCUUGCUUCCUGUAGACGUAGCUGUUUGAUAGAUCUACUUGUGGUGUCUGAUGUAGUCAAACGGAAGGUCCCCAGCGUUUUCCUUCCCAUAUUUUUAAAAAACAUAAACAGUUGUUUUGUGUCGCUCUUCCCAGAAGUGGCUGCAUUUCCUUGGAGUUUCUAUGUGCAGUAUAGGUGGAGGAAAAAAGACUGACACGGCAGGAAAUGCCUCUUGUUCCAAAGCCAAGAAGAAUAUGCAUGCCUUUGAUGUGCCAGGCAUUGUGCCACGCUCCAGUCUAGACAGCAGGAGGUACCGCAGUGUUUUAUGUACGUGCCUGUGUACUUCUGAGACUUGUGCUGCCGGUGGGACACAGGGCUGAAGGGAUGCUGAGGGGAACCGUUCCUUCGAUGGGUCUUCAGCCCUUGAAGGUUUGUCCUAUGGCACUGCCUUUGGCAUUACAGCCCCCUGCCCCCCCGGUUUUGCUUGUCUAGCAGUUGCUUUAGCAGCUUACUGUCUCUCUCCUGCUCCCUCCUGCUCCUUCCUCUAAUGUUUGUUGGCUUUGUCUUUAGGAUUCCUCUUAAUUGUAAGUUCUGAAGCAUGCUACUGAUUAACCGUCACCUACAAAUGCCAUUAAAAAACAAACAAACAGAAUUGUCCUUGAACUCUUUUCUGCCCUUUUUCUGCUCCAGUGGGACCGAAUACCCAAUUACAGAGAAAUACAGAAAAUUAAAGUGCGUCAGGAACGGCACGUCCUUUCUAGAAUCCUGUUUGACAGUCUGAUUAUCCUCGAGAAGAAAGGACCAUGCUGGUACAGUCCCAGAGGAGAAGAAUUAACAACCAUGGAAGCAAUGAAAGAAGAUUCACACUGAUGUGAAGAAGACAAAUGUGUGUGUAGUUCAAGUUCAUCUUGGCGGAGUCAUGCUGAAAAUGCCAAUCUGACAAUUUUAAUGCUGGCAGGAAAGGAAAAUGUACGAGGGGGCUGGGUAAGUAAUGGCUUGUCCCAGCUCAGCGUGAGCUCCGGCAGGGAGGCCGCACUCACUGACAUCCCCCCACGCUCGGGGUGGCUCUGCUGCAGCACACAUCAAGGUGACAAAGGACACCGACCGAGAGGUCAUCGCUCAUCUGGAGCCGUUGCUGCUCGUGGUGCGAGAGACGGGAGCUGAGAUGUUUUUGCCUUGGGCAACAAGGUGUAUCUGCAGGGAAGGCAAAGGAACCUGAAUUUGCUUUAACUCCCUAGCACGGGUACGACGGGAGGGUGGCUGCAGAGGCACAGAGCUCAGUGCACAC